ensembl:lncRNA
CUCGGAGCCUCUGGAGCUGCUUUAUGGUAGUUGGCACAAAAGGAAGGAAUCACCUACCUGAAAGUAAAUGGGUCAACAGAAUGUGCCAUUGGCUUCUCUGCAGGCCUCCCACAACUCUUUCUGCUUCCCACUUGAAUUCUUAGUGCUUCUUUGCUGUUUGUAAACACAGCAUUAUCCAACAGGGCACGUUUGACCCGUGAACAGGGGCGAAAAUGUUAGAACAUGCGGUCUCUCCGUGUCUGUCUUUUGUUAGCGACAAGCUAGCAUGCAAACUGUGAUGAGAGGUGUACAUUUUCCGCAAUCAGCCAUCUAUAUAGUCAAUGUUUAAUAUUUAAUAAGCAAAUAUGUCUAUAUGCUGAUUGGUCUCAAGCAGCGUUGUCCAAUCUUCAGCUUUUCGUUCCAAUCUAGCAGGAGCCACACCUGAUUCCAAUUGUUGGAUCCGCUGAUCUUGCUUUCAAUAGACUAAAGUGUGGCUUCUGCUUGGUUAGAAUGACAACCUGCGACCACACUGGCCCAUUCUGGAGAAGACUGGACAACCCUGAUCGAAAGCAAAUAACCACCGAGGUAAGUGCCACUUUGUGAGUUCUGAAUCCGUCAUGCCGACUCGACGUCACUCGAUGAACAGGGAAGGAACUGGUAGAUGAGAAGACUUCCCACUGUCGACGAAUGGCGAUUUCAAGUUGAGGGUGCGUUUGCUUUGCGUUUUCCCGCUUGGAGGUGGGGAAUUACAAGUCGCAACCUCGUGUCAAGCGCAUCAGUACUCUUGUCUUCUUGAUGAAGGAAAGAGCCAGGCUUCCACAUUCAGUGGAAAAGCAGAGACUGCCCGUGAUUUUGCAAGCAGCUGUUAUCUGCCUUGCUACAAAAGCUCAAUGGAAGGGAAACCGCUCCCAGCCUUUUUCGGGCGUAGACCUCUUGCUGAUAGGUGAACUUGGCGACGAGUACUUUAUGGAAAAUUUUCCAGUCACGCACAGAGUCUUAUUGAGCAACGAAAGAGCCAGGCUUCCACAUUCAGUGGAAAAGCAGAGACUGCCCGUGAUUUUGCAAGCAGCUGUUAUCUGCCUUGCUACAAAAGCUCAAUGGAAGGGAAACCGCUCCCAGCCUUUUUCGGGCGUAGACCUCUUGCUGAUAGGUGAACUUGGCGACCAGUACUUUAGUGAAAAUUUUCCAGUCACGCACAGAGUCUUAUUGAGCAACGAAAGAGCCAGGUUUCCACUUUCUGUGGAAAACCAGAGACUCCCUUUCAUUUUGUAAGCAAAUGUUAACUGCUUUGCUACAAAAGCACAAUAGAAGGAAAUCUGUUCUGUCCAAGGUGUCGCUUUCUGGCUGUUCCUGGAGGACCUGAUCUUACAGUGAUGAGUGUUAGCCAAACGUGAUAACCACCACACUACAGAAACCAUGACAGAGCUGCGCUUCAGCUCUUGCCUAUGGUCUGCUGAUGAGAAGAG